CAACAACCGAAAGGAGGUGAUCCAGUGUCUCGUUGCGCCAAUCGCCGUUCGCAGAACGCCGUGACCUGGAUCUUGGCCUCAGCCGGGAUUCACGCCUGAUCAAGGCGAAGGCCGCGGCCUUCUCGAAACGCCGCGAUCUGCAAUGUGAAGGGCCGUCCCUCCGGGGCGGCCCU
rnacentral:sRNA from 1 species